rnacentral:misc_RNA from 1 species
AAGUCGUAACAAGGUUUCCGUAGGUGAACCUGCGGAAGGAUCAUUAAAAAUGUUUGGUGGAGCGCAUUUUGUGCUUCAUGGAACCGAACAUUGGUUCUACCCACCCCCUUGUGCAUUGUUAUCGUCUCUGGCAGCUUAGCGCGACCUUGGCCAAGUGCCCAGGGAAGUGCGUCCUUUCCUGAGGUUCUCUGUACCUUAGAUAAAAAGGGGGCUGUCAACGGGGCAACCCGAACAAAUAAAUUCAUGUCUUAAUAUUUUAUUUGACUGAAUCUCAUCUUGUUGUUUUUACAACAUUGAAUGAAAAACAACUUUUGACAACGGAUCUCUUGGCUCUG